CGGACGGGUGAGUAAUGCUUGGGAAUCUGGCUUAUGGAGGGGGAUAACUACGGGAAACUGUAGCUAAUACCGCGUAAUAUCUUCGGAUUAAAGGGUGGGACUUUCGGGCCACCUGCCAUAAGAUGAGCCCAAGUGGGAUUAGGUAGUUGGUGGGGUAAAGGCCUACCAAGCCGACGAUCUCUAGCUGGUCUGAGAGGAUGACCAGCCACACUGGAACUGAGACACGGUCCAGACUCCUACGGGAGGCAGCAGUGGGGAAUAUUGCACAAUGGGGGGAACCCUGAUGCAGCCAUGCCGCGUGAAUGAAGAAGGCCUUCGGGUUGUAAAGUUCUUUCGGUGAUGAGGAAGGUGUUUGUUUUAAUAGAGCAAGCAAUUGACGUUAGUCACAGAAGAAGCACCGGCUAACUCCGUGCCAGCAGCCGCGGUAAUACGGAGGGUGCGAGCGUUAAUCGGAAUGACUGGGCGUAAAGGGCACGCAGGCGGUGACUUAAGUGAGAUGUGAAAGCCCCGAGCUUAACUUGGGAAUUGCAUUUCAUACUGGGUCGCUAGAGUACUUUAGGGAGGGGUAGAAUUCCACGUGUAGCGGUGAAAUGCGUAGAGAUGUGGAGGAAUACCGAAGGCGAAGGCAGCCCCUUGGGAAUGUACUGACGCUCAUGUGCGAAAGCGUGGGGAGCAAACAGGAUUAGAUACCCUGGUAGUCCACGCUGUAAACGCUGUCGAUUUGGGGAUUGGGCUUUAAGCUUGGUGCCCGUAGCUAACGUGAUAAAUCGACCGCCUGGGGAGUACGGCCGCAAGGUUAAAACUCAAAU
rnacentral:rRNA from 1 species